GACGAACGCUGGCGGCGUGCUUAACACAUGCAAGUCGAACGGUAAGGCCCUUCGGGGUACACGAGUGGCGAACGGGUGAGUAACACGUGGGUGAUCUGCCCUGCACUUCGGGAUAAGCCUGGGAAACUGGGUCUAAUACCGGAUCGGACCCUGGGAUGCAUGUCCUGGGGUGGAAAGCUUUUGCGGUGUGGGAUGGGCCCGCGGCCUAUCAGCUUGUUGGUGGGGUGAUGGGCUACCAAGGCGACGACGGGUAGCCGGCCUGAGAGGGUGACCGGCCACACUGGGACUGAGAUACGGCCCAGACUCCUACGGGAGGCAGCAGUGGGGAAUAUUGCACAAUGGGCGCAAGCCUGAUGCAGCGACGCCGCGUGAGGGAUGACGGCCUUCGGGUUGUAAACCUCUUUCAGCACCGACGAAGCGCAAGUGACGGUAGGUGCAGAAGAAGGACCGGCCAACUACGUGCCAGCAGCCGCGGUAA
rnacentral:rRNA from 1 species